rnacentral:rRNA from 1 species
GUGCCAGCAGCCGCGGUAACACGUAGGGCGCAAGCGUUGUCCGGAAUUAUUGGGCGUAAAGAGCUCGUAGGUGGUUUGUUACGUCCGCUGUGAAAACCUAGGGCUUAACCCUGGGCUUGCAGUGGAUACGGGCAGACUAGAGGUAGGUAGGGGAGAAUGGAAUUCCUGGUGUAGCGGUGAAAUGCGCAGAUAUCAGGAGGAACACCGGUGGCGAAGGCGGUUCUCUGGGCCUUACCUGACACUGAGGAGCGAAAGCGUGGGGAGCGAACAGGAUUAGAUACCCUGGUAGUCCACGCCGUAAACGUUGGGCGCUAGGUGUGGGGUCCUUCCACGGAUUCCGUGCCGCAGCUAACGCAUUAAGCGCCCCGCCUGGGGAGUACGGCCGCAAGGCUAAA